GGAAGGUCCAUAGCUCAGUGGCAAGAGCAUCUGCUUUGCAUGCAGAAGGUCCUGGGUUCAAUCCCCAGCGUCUCUG